CUUCUGCUAACUGGUUGCAACUGUCCUCUCGACUGUCCGCUAAUAUUUUGUAAUGACCGUCCUUGAGCUCGGGACUCGUGUGUCUGUCUGGACAAGUGUGUCAUUGUGCCCUCCAGUCCCUCCACUAUGGUUCCGACUAAUGUGGUCAAAUGGGUACAGCAUUGUGCCUUCCUAAAGAAGCUCCAGAUCUCUGCACCUCCCCAAGACCUCCUUUGCGUCCUCCUUUACACAACAGAGGAACCGGUUCUGCACAGCUGCAGCGGCACAUGCUGUCCCGGCACCACCUCGUUUUGCCCGCCUGUGACUUCAUCCGCAUUGCCUGCUCCCCUCACGGCAGAUAAAAUGUGACGAAGACGUGAAGGGAGGCAGAAAUGCGAGCCUGCGAGUUCAGAGGGACGCCACAAAAACUCCAAGAGUGGGUCAAGUGAGAGGAAUCAAGUUGUUGAAAGAAACGCGGGACAAGUGGCUCUCCUCCUCCAGCCUGAAGGACACCUGCUGCACUUGAACCACAAAGAGACCGGUAACGCCAUUUUGAUAUUAUAUAUGUGAUCUAUCAGCAUUUCCUGUUCCUAUCCGUCUCUUCUAAGUGCACAUGAGAGACAAUGGCUUAGAGCAACUUCAAAGACGUAGCAGGCAGUGGCUUUUGAAUGGAAGGAUUUAAUCAUGUAUGUGAACGUUUAUGUACACAUAUCAUCAUUCACACGCACACAAAGCCCCAUGCCUAUGUACAAAGACACUACACAUGUAUGUGGUCCAGCUUUGUGUUCAUCACCACCACUGUCUGUUCCUUGUUAGCGAACAUGACACCAUAAAGCCCACAUGAACAAAUUCCACAAAACAAUGUAAGUUGGCCAUAAAUCAAAGAACGAUCUCUUGCAUUUUUUCAGGGGUCUCAAACACACGGCCCGCGGGCCAAAUGUGGCCCACAGGACACUACAUUGAGGCCCCCGCCUUGAUAUGAAAGUUUAAUGUUAGUGCAGCCCCCCGCAAGUUUGAUAUGGAUGCCAUAUGGUAUCAUGUACCCAGAAAAAAUUAUUACGUUUGAUUAAUGUUCAUGUUAAAGGUUAAAUAGUCAUAGUUAAAGGUUAAGAGUCAUCCUCCCUAUACGUGUGGAAGUGGUAAGUUUUUGCUCUAUAGGAGUCAAUACAAAGCGACGAAAAUUAGCAUAAUAGGUCCCCUUUAAGUUAUGUUGUUGCACUUUCUGCCGUGUGGUUAGCAUGUGCGUUUGUGGGUUUUCUCCGGGUACUCCAGUUUCCUCCCACAUGGGAGUGGUUAAUGCGCAGGCCACACAGCUCGGAGACCCGAGUUCGAUUCCACCCUCGGCCAUUUCUGUGUGGAGUUUGCAUGUUCUCCCCGUGCAUGCGUGGGUUUUCUCCGGGUACUCCGGUUUCCUCCCACAUUCCAAAAAACAUGCUAGGCUAAUUGGUGACUCUAAAUUGUUCAAUGAAUGUGAGUGUGAAUGGUUGUUUGUCUAUAUGUGCCCUGUGAUUGGCUGGCCACCAGUCUAGGGAGUACCCCGCCUCUCGCCCGGAGUCAGCUGGGAUAGGCUCCAGCAUAGUCACCCUAGUGAGGAUAAGCAGUAUAUACAGUGUAUAUGUAAAUAAAGGGGGUGACAUUCAAUAAUGGCACCUUUCUUUAAGACAUGGGCUGCAUUCCAUUAGCAGUUUGAGUUGCCCUCAUUGACUUCCCUUAGGCACUUAGUAUGAUGUCAUUUCCGACAUCAUGUGCAGGCCACUUGAAGAGCUGAGGGAAAACGGCUGUGGGAGGAGUGGAAGUUUUCAGUGGAAAGUACCUUCAGUCCAAGCAAUCGCGGUUCCACAACUAGAUGAAUGUGUCACGUGACACUGCUUCUUACUAAUUAUUAUUAUUAUACACAUAAGAAGCCUUGUUUAGAUGUUGGCAUGUUAUUUUAAAUUCAGUUUAGUUUUAGUUACUCAACAAGUUCACUUCAGCUUUUCAGAGACAUGGAACAACACUUUUGCGAUGGUGGUGGAUAUUCAUUCCCCUUAGGGGAAGUCAACGAGGGCAACUCAAACUGCCAGACAUGCAUAGACAUCCAUCCAUCCAUGCAUCCAUUU